AUUGAACGCUGGCGGCAUGCCUCACACAUGCAAGUCGAACGGCAGCAUGGAGAGCUUGCUCUCUGAUGGCGAGUGGCGAGCGGGUGAGUAAUGCAUCGGAACGUACCGUGUAAUGGGGGAUAACGUAGCGAAAGUUACGCUAAUACCGCAUACGACCUGAGGGUGAAAGCAGGGGAUCGCAAGACCUUGCGUUAUACGAGCGGCCGAUGUCAGAUUAGCUAGUUGGUGAGGUAAAGGCUCACCAAGGCGACGAUCUGUAGCGGGUCUGAGAGGAGGAUCCGCCACACUGGGAAUGAGACACGGCCCAGACUCCUACGGGAGGCAGCAGUGGGGAAUUUUGGACAAUGGGGGCAACCCUGAUCCAGCCAUGCCGCGUGAGUGAAGAAGGCCUUCGGGUUGUAAAGCUCUUUCGGCCGGGAAGAAAUCGCACAGGCUAAUACUCUGUGUGGAUGACGGUACCGGCAUAAGAAGCACCGGCUAACUACAUGCCAGCAGCCGCCGUAA
rnacentral:rRNA from 1 species